UAUUAUUGGUGAGAAGAAAAUAAUUGAUUAAGGUAGUAAUAGAUAAGGUCUUGAAACUUAAAGAAUUUGGCGGUGUUUUAGUCCUUUCAGAGGAAUCUGUUUAGUAAUCGAUGAUACACGAAUGGAAUAACUUAAUUUUGUUAUCAGCUUGUAUACCGUCGUCGUAAUGAUUAUUUUUGAAGGAUGUUAAAUUUCUGUGAAAAUUAAUAUUUAAUAUGUCAGAUCAAGGUGCAGUUUAUAAUUAAGAGAAAAAUGGAUUACAAUAUAAGUAUAUAUAAAUAAAUAAAUGGAUUAACUGUUAAAUAAAGUAUUUGAAGGUGGAUUUGAUGGUAAAUUAAUUAUUAGUUAAUUGAUUGAGGCUCUAAAACAUGUACACAUCGCCCGUCGCUCUCGUUAAAUUAUGAG
rnacentral:rRNA from 1 species